UAGAGAGAGCAACAGGAAGAAGAAGAGGGAAAUGAAGUAAAAAGGAGAAGUCUGUCUGCGUUUUAAAAUUUAAGUGAGGGGAGAUAGAGUUAGUUGAGUUUGAGCCGAGGAUUGAAUUGGUUGUGAUCGCACAACAAAAAGGUGAUAUCAAAGAGUAUGUGUUGUUGGUCUUCUCUACUUUGCCUUCAUUAAGCAAAUAAUGCAAUUGUAAUUAAAUAGAAGAAAAAAAAA